AUGGACUGCAAGAGUCCUGGAACCUCUGCACCCCCAGCCCUUCAGGACGUUUCAUUCUGCACUGCCUAAGCUCCCAGGCUCCUAAAUGCUUCCACAUGUCCACCCUGACCUGCAUGGCUCCUUAUCUUCAUCUGCACAACAUGGCCAGCCAGCUCUGCUUUCCUCGCUCUGGGAUGGCCUCCCUGUGGUCCUGGAGCAGACAUCCUCCUCGGGACCACCAGGAAGAAGCCCCACAAUGCCUUCAUUCAGAAGAAGACAGGUAGAGUGGAAGACCACCAGAGACUCUGGACUCUGAAGAACAAGUACCAGAAGCCACAUUGCACACUAAACAUGGUACAUCCCAGUCUUCUGGCCAGCUCUGGGAUCCAGGCAAAUCACCUGUCCCAUUCUUCACCAGGGAUGAGAGUGAUAUCCAGACAAGGAGGUAAACCCAGAAAGACUGCAUGGAGAGCUCCAAGAGUUGAAUUUCCUGGGCAGUUUCCCCCCACCAUUCCUCUUUCCACAACUAAGGGCCCCCUCCUGUCACCCCUGACCCUAGCCCAUCUCGUCCAUCUUCAGUGAAAACUGCCACAUAUUCCUGAUUAUCUUGUCUAAAAUAAUGUCUUCCUUCCA